GGUUAAGCGACUAAGCGUACACGGUGGAUGCCCUGGCAGUCAGAGGCGAUGAAGGGCGUGCUAAUCUGCGAUAAGCGCCGGUAAGGUGAUAUGAACCGUUAUAACCGGCGAUACCCGAAUGGGGAAACCCAGUGUGAUUCGUCACACUAUCAUUAACUGAAUCCAUAGGUUAAUGAGGCGAACCGGGGGAACUGAAACAUCUAAGUACCCCGAGGAAAAGAAAUCAACCGAGAUUCCCCCAGUAGCGGCGAGCGAACGGGGAGGAGCCCAGAGCCUGAAUCAGCAUGUGUGUUAGUGGAAGCGUCUGGAAAGGCGCGCGAUACAGGGUGACAGCCCCGUACACAAAAGCGCAUGUGCUGUGAGCUCGAUGAGUAGGGCGGGACACGUGGUAUCCUGUCUGAAUAUGGGGGGACCAUCCUCCAAGGCUAAAUACUCCUGACUGACCGAUAGUGAACCAGUACCGUGAGGGAAAGGCGAAAAGAACCCCGGCGAGGGGAGUGAAAAAGAACCUGAAACCGUGUACGUACAAGCAGUGGGAGCACCCUUUGGGGUGUGACUGCGUACCUUUUGUAUAAUGGGUCAGCGACUUAUAUUCU
rnacentral:rRNA from 1 species